rnacentral:rRNA from 1 species
UACUAGAGUAGCACUCGCAUAUCAAUAAGCGGAGGAAAAGAGGGUAUACCUACGCUUAGGAUGUUGAGGAUGUAGCACAUCAUACACGCAUGACACACUGCAUAUCAAUAAGCGGAGGAAAAGAGGGCUAUUACCUACGCUUAGGAUGUUGACACACGCGCGUGCUCGACUCUAUACAUGACUCUGUGCAUAUCAAUAAGCGGAGGAAAAGUCAAUACCUACGCUUAGGAUGUUGACGAGUCUGUCGAUCUCAUCUAUACAUGACUCUGUGCAUAUCAAUAAGCGGAGGAAAAGAAACUAACAAGGAUUCCCCUAGUAACGGCGAGUGAAGCGGGAAGAGCUCAAAUUUGAAAUCUUAAAGGGUUUCCCUUUACGAAUUGUAGUUUAAAGAAGUGUUUUCUGUUGAGGUUUUGGUAAAAGUUCUUUGGAAUAGGACAUCAUAGAGGGUGAGAAUCCCGUAUUUGACCUUUACUUUCAACUUUGUGAUACACUUUCAAAGAGUCGGAUUGUUUGGGAAUGCAGUCCAAAAUGGGUGGUAAAUUUCAUCUAAAGCUAAAUAUUGGCGAGAGACCGAUAGCGAACAAGUACCGUGAGGGAAAGAUGAAAAGAACUUUGAAAAGAGAGUUAAACAGUACGUGAAAUUGUCAAAAGGGAAGCGUUUGACACCAGUGUUGUUUUUCUGAAAAUCAAUUAAAGAACUGUUUAUACUAAGCUGUUUAGACUUUAUCAGCUAUCUGUUUAGUUUUGAGCUUUUCUUUAAUGCACUUUUCAGUUAACAAGUCAACAUCAAUUUCUUUUGCUGUAAAAAAGCUUGAGGAAGGUGGCUUGAGAUUCGUCUUAAGUGUUUAUAGCCUCUUGCCUAUGCAGUCGGAGAGAUUGAGGUCUGCAGCGUAGAUCCUUCGGGGCUAAAUGCAUUUGUGCUAAGUUAUAGCAUUUUAUAGACAACUUGUUGACUAUGAUUUGUCUUGUAGCUUACUCGCUUAUGUUAUUUUACCUACGCUUAGGAUGUUGAAGACUCUACAGAGAUA